rnacentral:snRNA from 1 species
GCAUGUGAGGGCGAUCUGGCUGCAACAUCUGUCACCCCAUUGAUCACCAGGGUUGAUUCGGCUGAUCUGGCUGGCUAGGCGGGUGUCCCCUCCCUCCCUCACCGCUCCAUCUGCAUUCCUCCAGAAGCUGCGCGCUCAGUCACCUUCCCGGAAUAGAGACAGACCAGUCUUCAGUCAAGGGUAUAGGAGUAGCUGCACUCCCCUGCUAGAACCUCCAAAGAAGCUCUCAACAAAUGUACAUGGGUAUCAAAUAUAUGCCAGGUACACUGUUAGGUUCUAACAAU